rnacentral:tRNA from 1 species
AUCUGGAUAGCUCAGUGGUCUAGAGGAAUUGCGCGGAAAGCGAAAGACUCGGGUUCGAUUCCCGAUCCAGUCA